ACGGAAGGCAGCAGUGGGGAAUUUUGCGCAAUGGGGGGAACCCUGACGCAGCAACGCCGCGUGCGGGAUGAAGGCCUUCGGGUUGUAAACCGCUUUCAGCAGGGACGAUUAUGACGGUACCUGCAGAAGAAGCUCCGGCUAACUACGUGCCAGCAGCCGCGGUAAUACGUAGGGAGCGAGCGUUAUCCGGAUUCAUUGGGCGUAAAGCGCGCGUAGGCGGCUUGCUAAGCGGAACCUCUAAUCCGAGGGCUCAACCCCCGGCCGGGUUCCGAACUGGCAGGCUCGAGUGCGGUAGGGGCAAGUGGAAUUCCAUGUGUAGCGGUGGAAUGCGCAGAUAUAUGGAAGAACACCGAUGGCGAAGGCAGCUUGCUGGGCCGACACUGACGCUGAGGUGCGAAAGCGUGGGGAGCGAGCAGGAUUAGAUACCCUGGUA
rnacentral:rRNA from 1 species